rnacentral:lncRNA from 1 species
ACAACAAGUGAAGACAGGCUGGAAGUGUCUUUCUAGUGGCCUCCUGACUGCUCCAGUUUUGUCCAGUCGAGAUGAGAAAGGCAGGCACCAUGCCCAAGCAUGUCAGCUGAACUGUUCCGACCAUGGCCACUGUGACUCGUUCACCAAACGCUGUAUCUGUGACCCUUUUUGGAUGGAGAAUUUCAUCAAGGUGCAGCUGAGGGAUGGAGACAGCAACUGUGAGUGGAGCGUGUUAUAUGUUAUCAUUGCUACCUUUGUCAUUGUUGUUGCCUUGGGAAUCCUGUCUUGGAC